rnacentral:rRNA from 1 species
UCUGAUGUUAGCGGCGGACGGGUGAGUAACACGUGGAUAACCUACCUAUAAGACUGGGAUAACUUCGGGAAACCGGAGCUAAUACCGGAUAAUAUUUUGAACCGCAUGGUUCAAAAGUGAAAGACGGUCUUGCUGUCACUUAUAGAUGGAUCCGCGCUGCAUUAGCUAGUUGGUAAGGUAACGGCUUACCAAGGCAACGAUGCAUAGCCGACCUGAGAGGGUGAUCGGCCACACUGGAACUGAGACACGGUCCAGACUCCUACGGGAGGCAGCAGUAGGGAAUCUUCCGCAAUGGGCGAAAGCCUGACGGAGCAACGCCGCGUGAGUGAUGAAGGUCUUCGGAUCGUAAAACUCUGUUAUUAGGGAAGAACAUAUGUGUAAGUAACUGUGCACAUCUUGACGGUACCUAAUCAGAAAGCCACGGCUAACUACGUGCCAGCAGCCGCGGUAAUACGUAGGUGGCAAGCGUUAUCCGGAAUUAUUGGGCGUAAAGCGCGCGUAGGCGGUUUUUUAAGUCUGAUGUGAAAGCCCACGGCUCAACCGUGGAGGGUCAUUGGAAACUGGAAAACUUGAGUGCAGAAGAGGAAAGUGGAAUUCCAUGUGUAGCGGUGAAAUGCGCAGAGAUAUGGAGGAACACCAGUGGCGAAGGCGACUUUCUGGUCUGUAACUGACGCUGAUGUGCGAAAGCGUGGGGAUCAAACAGGAUUAGAUACCCUGGUAGUCCACGCCGUAAACGAUGAGUGCUAAGUGUUAGGGGGUUUCCGCCCCUUAGUGCUGCAGCUAACGCAUUAAGCACUCCGCCUGGGGAGUACGACCGCAAGGUUGAAACUCAAAGGAAUUGACGGGGACCCGCACAAGCGGUGGAGCAUGUGGUUUAAUUCGAAGCAACGCGAAGAACCUUACCAAAUCUUGACAUCCUUUGACAACUCUAGAGAUAGAGCCUUCCCCUUCGGGGGACAAAGUGACAGGUGGUGCAUGGUUGUCGUCAGCUCGUGUCGUGAGAUGUUGGGUUAAGUCCCGCA